GACGAACGCUGGCGGCGUGCUUAACACAUGCAAGUCGUACGGUAAGGCCCUUUCUGGGGUACACGAGUGGCGCACGGGUGAGUAAAACGUGAAUAACCUUCCCCCAAAUUGGGGAAAACCCUCGGAAACUGGGCCCAAAUCUGGCAUUGUUCCCCUGCUGCAUGGUGGGGGUUGUAAAGCCCCGGCGGUGGUGGAUGGACCCGGGGCCUAUCGGCUUGUUGGUGGGGUAGUGGCCUACCAAGGCGGCGACGGGUAGCCGGCCUGAGAGGGUGACCGGCCACAUUGGGACUGAGAGACGGCCCAGACUCCUACGGUAGGCAGCAGUGGGGAAUAUUGCACAAUGGGCGCAAGCCUGAUGCAGCAGCGCCGCGGGCGGGAUGACGGCCUUCGGGGUGAAAACCGCUUUCAGCAGGGACGAAGCUUUUUGUGACGGUACCUGCAGAAGAAGCACCGGCUAACUACGUG
rnacentral:rRNA from 1 species